GCCCCCCGUUGCUGCCUGGUGUCUGCCGUGUGCAUGGCCGUCUGGUCUCUCUCCCACACGUGUGCACAACCUGUCAACCUGUCAUGGAGAUGUGAGGGCCUUGUGUGUGCUUCCGAGUGUGACUGUGUGAUUGUGUGACUGCGUAUCCAGACCCCCGCCUGGCGGUGAUGUGGGCCCUUAAAUCACUCUUCCUGCUCACCCCCUCCCCAGUGAUUCGGUUUUACUUUGCAGCACUGUGGAUCCGGGCAGCUGGGCGGCUUCUCAGGGCGGGGGGAUCCCCUACCCUGCCCACAAGUCUGGCCCCAGGGGUCUCGGAGGCAGGGGGUUUCUGUUAGCGCAUUCCCUCCAGCUGCAGGCACAUAGCCCGAGCUCACAGCUGGCCUGAGUCGAGGCCGGCUGGGGUGGAAGCUCCGAGUGGGCCUCUGGCCUUCCGGCUGCUCUGGGUUCAGAGUGUCUGGAGCACGUGGCACAGACCAGGGCCCCUCGUCCUCCAGGCAGGGUGGGACAUCCUCUCUGCCUCACGCCCCUGGCUGGAGAUUCUGGCUGGCCUCCUCUCCCCGUUUGCCAAGGUCAAGGUGGGCCAAGGGUGCAGGUGCUUAGCCUGGUUCCCUCUCCCAGGCCCCGAGGUUCUGUGGGUCAGGCAGAUUGGAGACAGGACUCAUGUAAGGGUUCUGCUGGGGUGAAGGAUGGGGACAGAGAAAAUCAAGAUCAUUUCACAAGUUAAUUCUAUGUCUGCUGAGCCCCAGCCCCCCACGCAUCACCCUGAGGAGGUGCCAGGCUUCUCUGGGCCCCCUGUGCCCCAUCCACAUGUUGCAGAGUAAAUCUGGCCCUUUGGACGUGGGGUCUGAGAUGGAUGCCUGGCUGCCCCUCCUGGACUGUGGGGUGACAGCUGGCGAGACACUGGGGGGCUUGGGUGUGGGGAGACAGAGUAGGGCUGAGCCGCGUUUUUCCAGCCACCCCACAUCCCACAGAAGGGGAGUCACGGUCAGUGCCUUGAGCUGGAAAGACGGGCAAUGCUUCUGGCCCAAACCAACCAAGAGAACCACCAGGGGCUCAUUCAUCCUCUCAAAGAGGCUAAGAAAACGGACGAGGGCCCAGAAAGAGUUGGGUCGGCAGCAUGGCCUCUGCUGGUGCCAGCCCCCAGCGCUGCCACUGCCUCCCCCGCCCCUGCUGCUGGCCCUGAGGCUGGGAGUGGCUGUGGGGAUGAGCAUUGUGCCCCCCACAAUGGGCACCCUUGGCUGUGAUUUGGGCGGAACCUCGGUGCUGUCCCAGGUGGACUCGAGGCUUCCUGACGGCUUCCGCGUGGCGGGGCCCCAUGCCCUUGCUGGGAGCGACGUCGGAGCCCGCCCCGUGCCUCACGGCCCCUCGUGCUCGCUGCCCCAGCCCGGCCCACUCCACGUUCUCGUCUCAGCCUCUCUCUUUCUCUCUCUCCCUCCCGCCCUCCACCCCACCCAUCUGGACACCCGCUGCCCCCAAGUGCUUUAAUCCCUGUUACUGCCCUUCUCGGGCCCCUCUCUCGUCUGCCCUCUUUGGGGAUGAGGUGCUGGCCCUGAAGGCGAACUCCAGUAAAGGCAGCCCGUGCAGAGGGCCCCUGUGUGGAUGCUGCCCCGGACGCUCUAGCCAGAAGGUCAGUUUGAAAGAUCGUGUCUUCUCCAGCCCCCGAGGCGUGGCUGCCAAGGGGAAGGGGUCCCCGCAGGCCCAGACUGUGCGGCGGUCACCCAGCGCCGACCAGAGCCUCGAGGACAGCCCCAGCAAGGUGCCCAAGAGCUGGAGCUUUGGGGACCGCAGCCGGGCACGCCAGGCUUUCCGCAUCAAGGGCGCCGCGUCACGGCAGAACUCAGAAGAAGCAAGCCUCCCUGGAGAGGACAUUGUGGAUGACAAGAGUUGCCCCUGCGAGUUUGUGACCGAGGACCUGACCCCGGGCCUCAAAGUCAGCAUCAGAGCCGUGUGUGUCAUGCGGUUCCUGGUGUCCAAGCGGAAGUUCAAGGAGAGCCUGCGGCCCUACGACGUGAUGGACGUCAUCGAGCAGUACUCAGCCGGCCACCUGGACAUGCUGUCCCGAAUUAAGAGCCUGCAGUCCAGGAUAGAUAUGAUUGUGGGUCCCCCACCCCCUUCAACUCCCCGGCACAAGAAGUACCCCACCAAAGGACCCACGGCCCCUCCGAGAGAGUCACCCCAGUACUCACCUAGAGUGGACCAGAUCGUGGGGCGGGGCCCAGCGAUCACGGACAAGGACCGCACCAAGGGCCCGGCCGAGGCGGAGCUGCCCGAGGACCCCAGCAUGAUGGGACGGCUCGGGAAGGUGGAGAAGCAGGUCUUGUCCAUGGAGAAGAAGCUGGACUUCCUGGUGAAUAUCUACAUGCAGCGGAUGGGCAUCCCCCCGACAGAGACGGAGGCCUACUUUGGGGCUAAAGAGCCGGAGCCGGCGCCACCGUACCACAGCCCAGAAGACAGCCGGGAGCAUGUCGACAGGCACGGCUGCAUUGUCAAGAUCGUGCGCUCCAGCAGCUCCACGGGCCAGAAGAACUUCUCGGCGCCCCCGGCUGCGCCCCCUGUCCAGUGUCCGCCCUCCACCUCCUGGCAGCCACAGAGCCACCCACGCCAGGGCCACGGCACCUCCCCCGUGGGGGACCACGGCUCCCUGGUGCGCAUCCCGCCGCCGCCUGCCCACGAGCGGUCACUGUCAGCCUACGGCGGGGGCAACCGCGCCAGCAUGGAGUUCCUGCGGCAGGAGGACGCCCCGGGCUGCAGGCCCCCCGAGGGGACCCUGCGGGACAGCGACACGUCCAUCUCCAUCCCGUCCGUGGACCAUGAGGAGCUGGAGCGUUCCUUCAGCGGCUUCAGCAUCUCCCAGUCCAAGGAGAACCUGGAUGCUCUCAACAGCUGCUACGCGGCCGUGGCGCCUUGUGCCAAAGUCAGGCCCUACAUCGCGGAGGGAGAGUCAGACACGGACUCCGACCUCUGUACCCCGUGUGGGCCCCCGCCACGCUCGGCCACCGGCGAGGGUCCCUUUGGUGACGUGGGCUGGGCCGGGCCCAGGAAGUGAGGCAGCGCUGGGCCAGUGGACCCGCCCACAGCCCUCCUCCGCACGGUGCCUCUGAGGUUUUGAGGCGGGAACCCUCUGGGGCCUUUUUCUUAACAGUAACUGAGUGUGGCGGGAAGGGUGGGCCCUGGAGGGGCCCAUGUGGGCUGAAGGAUGGGGGCUCCUGGCAGUGACCUUUUACAAAAGUUAUUUUCCAACAGGGGCUGGAGGGCCGGGCAGGGCCCUGUGGCUCCGGGAGCAGCACGCGGGAGCAAGGCCGCCCUGUCUACUCUGCUCGGGGCCCCGGCAGACAUCAGCCGGGUGUGAGGAGGGGCGGGAGUGAUGACGGGGUGUUGCCAGGAUGGUGACGGGUGGGGGGUGGUCUCAGCCGAGCCCAGGGGAGGCACAAAGGGCAGGCCUGUUCCGUGAGGACCUGCGGCCUUGGGGCCUGGUGGGGUUUCCGGGCAGCUACAGGCGGGUGUGGCCAGCCGCUGCGCGUGGCCUCUGCCCUCACACCUGACCUGCCCGGCGGACUUUCCCGUCCCCCACCUCGGGCGCCCAAAUACAGAGCUGUUGGUCGGCGUCUUCUCCCUGUACCUUCUGGGAUCUGAGGGCUCUUUCCACGGGAGCCAGCCCCGAGGUGGAGACCUUCGCCUGCAGCCAAGGAGCGGGUGGGGCCUGGGAACCAAACUGGAGCCCAGAGUGGACGUCCAGCCCUCUGGUCUUGGCCUCUAGGGGGAGGGCCUGGCUCACGGUGGGGCCAGGGAGCCAGCUCCGAAGGGUCUUCAAAAAGGGGGUCCUUGGGGGCUCCAGCUGCCUCGCCCUGGCCUUUCCGUGGGUGCGUGAGAGCCAGCAGCACCCCAGCCUCGGAGACCGAGGGGGCAGGACCCUAAGUCCUCCCCUCUCUCCUGACUGCCCUGGCCGUGUGCCGGCACUGCGAGACCCGCCCGGUGAGCAGGCCUCACAGUUCUUAGCCAGGGCCCCACCUCGCCUGUGUCCCACCAGUGCCCCAACAGACCCGGGGCAGGGCUAGGCCAUGAUGCAGCGGGUCAGGAUAGCAUCCACCGUCCGCACAGGGAUGCCCUCCCCGCCUUUCUGGAGGAACCACUCCCACCUCAGCCCAGCUGAGCGCCCUCCCUGGCUCUUCUGCCCCCCGACGGCCCCUUCUCCGCUGACCGACUCCUUAGCUGGGCCUCUUGGGGGUGCACCGUCCUACGCCCGUCCUGUUGGGGGCACCGUGGCCAUUGGGGCAGGCGGCUCUGAUGGAGGAGCGAGUCCCUAGCUCCAGACUUAAGCACCAGAGCCCGGGAGCAUCUGGCAUUUGGCGUGACGGCGUCGCAGGCGGGCCUGGGCUCCUGGAGAGUGGCCUCCCUGGGAGUGAGCAGGGCUGGGGUCGUGGGCGCAAAUACUCCUGAAGAGCAAGUGCAGGGGAGUCCUGGGCCCGUUUCUCCUCCACCUGCGUUUUCAGUGCACUUGGUUUGGCCGGGAGGUCCUGAGGCCCUGAGGCCAGCAGGGGAACCCGUCCUCAGGGAGAGGACUUUGAAAGCAGCAUUUGAGGGUCGUACGCCCCUGGCUGGUGGGGUCCUGGCGCCAGGGUGUUUGGGGAGCCAUGUCUGGCGUCCGUUGUGGGGAGCUGCCUCCCUGGCCUCUCUGCCUACCCCCAGCCCGGCCAGGGCACUCCCAGGCCCCGUUGCCAUUGAGGUGCCUCCGCUGGGCUGUGUCCUCACCCCUCCCUGUGCCAGAGCCUGUCCCAAAAAGGUGCCAACUGGGAGGCCUCAGAAGCCACUGUCCAGGUUCCCACUGCCUGUCUGCUCUGUUCCCAAAGGCAGCGUGUGUGGCCUCGGGCCCUGCGGUGGCGUGAAGCAUCCCUUCUGGUGUGGGCGCUGCUGUGUGUUUCGGGGACAGCGUUUCAUGGCUGUGCCCUUGCUGUCUCCCUUGGGCUGGCUCGAGCCCGGGGUCCACGUCCCUUCGCCUUCCCAUCAUGGGACAGGGAAUCCCCAGCGGGGCCUACAGGCAGGGGUAUGAGUGCGUCCCACCCAACGUAGCACCAGCCCCGGCCACCGCUCCCCGCAUCCCCAGUUCCAUCUCAGCCACCCGGACUCCAGGACCCUGGAGAAGGGAGACCUGGCAGUGGAGGGAGGCUGUUCUGUGUGUCCCCCACCAGGUGUGGCCCCGCCUGCUCUUUCCUCCCCUGAUGUGUGGCCCCGCCAGCUCUUUCCUCCCACCAUGUGUGGCCCCGCCAGCUCUUUCCUCCCCCCC